rnacentral:rRNA from 1 species
AUCGCCUCUUGCAAAAUUCMMSUAUAAGAGGUCCCGCCUGCCCUGUGACCCUGGGUUUAACGGCCGCGGUAUUUUGACCGUGCGAAGGUAGCGCAAUCACUUGUCUUUUAAAUGAAGACCUGUAUGAAUGGCACGACGAGGGCUUAACUGUCUCCUUCUCUCAGUCAAUGAAAUUGAUCUCCCCGUGCAGAAGCGGGGAUCUCCUCAUAAGACGAGAAGACCCUAUGGAGCUUUAGACAAAAGGCAGACCACGUUUAACCCCUUCCCCCACGAAGCUAAGCACAGUGCCCCCUAGCCUGAAUGUCUUCGGUUGGGGCGACCACGGGGGAAAAUUAAGCCCCCAUGUGGACUGGGGACACUAUUCCCUAGAAUCAAGAGCUACAGCUCUAGACAACAGAAUUUCUGACCAAAAAUGAUCCGGUAAAUACCGAUCAACGGACCADGUUACCCUAGGGAUAACAGCGCAAUCCCCUCCCAGAGUCCCUAUCGACAAGGGGGUUUACGACCUCGAUGUUGGAUCAAGGACAUCCUAAUGGUGCAACCGCUAUUAAGGGUUCGUUUGUUUCAACGAUAAAGUCCUACGUGAUCUGAU